CUCCGGGCCCAGCACCACCCUGCGUGGGGACACGGGUGUCACAUGUCACCCCACGGGGGUCACACGCACCCACGCGGGGGUCACACGCACCUACAUGCAUGUCACAUGCACCCACACGCACCCACACGCGUUACAUGCGCCCACGGGGGUCACAGGGUCCCACACGCAGGUCACACGCACCCACACGCAGGUCACACGCACCCACACACACCCACACGUGUGUUACACACGCCCACGGGGGUCACACGGGCCCACACGCGUCACACGCACCCACAUGGGUGUCACAUGCACCCACACGUGUGUCACACGCACCCACACGCAGGUCACCCGCACCCACACACAGGUCACACACACCCACACGCAUUUCACAUGCACCCGCAUCGGUGUCACAUGCACCCACACGCAUGUCACACGUGGGUCACGCACCCACACGCACCCACACGUGUGUUACACGCGCCCACGGGGGUCACACGGGCCCACGCACAGGUCACACGCAUCCACACGCGGGUCACACGCACCCACACGUGGGUCACACGUGCGUUACACGCGCCCACGGGGGUCACAUGGGCCCACGCGCAGGUCACACGCACCCACAAGCAGGUCACACGCACCCACAUGGGUGUCACACGCACCCACAUGCACCCACACACAGGUCACACACACCCACAUGCGGGUCACACGCACCCACACGCACCCACACGCGUGUUACACACGCCCACGGGGGUCACACGUGCCCACACGCGGGACACACGCACCCACACACAGGUCACACGCACCCACACACGUGUCACGCACCCACACACGUGUUACGUGCACCCACACGUGUCACACACACCCGCACGUGGGUCACAUGCACCCACACGAGCCCACGCGCACCCACACGUGGGUCACACGCACCCACACGGGGGUCACGUGGGUGUCACGCGCCCCCACACGCACCCACGCACGUGUCACACGCACCCACACGCGUGCCCCCCCCCGGUGGCACCAGCGCCAUGGACAUCCAUG
rnacentral:lncRNA from 1 species